GGAGCGGUGGCUGGGUGGUUAAAGCAUGGUAAAGCGAAGCAGCUAAGCCAAAGUCCGCCGGUUCGACUCCGGUCCGCUCUG